rnacentral:rRNA from 1 species
CGUUGUUCGGAUUCACUGGGCGUAAAGGGUGCGUAGGCGGUCGGGUAAGUCUGGCGUGAAAUCUCCAAGCCUAACUUGGAAACUGCGUUGGAUACUAUCCGGCUCGAGGAAUGGAGGGGAGACUGGAAUACUUGGUGUAGCAGUGAAAUGCGUAGAUAUCAAGUGGAACACCAGUGGCGAAGGCGAGUCUCUGGACAUUUCCUGACGCUGAGGCACGAAAGCCAGGGGAGCAAACGGG